CGACUCUGCGGACCCGGCGGGUGCGCGCUUCCCUGUGACCGCUGCCCGUCCGGAGGUCCCCGCCCGCCCCGACACCCCAUCCUGUCCCCCGAGGACCGCUGCCCGCCGCGCCACUGGGUGGGCUCCGGGCGCACGCUGGGGAGUGGGCGCGGGGCCGGGCGAUCGCUAGCCGGUCUCCACACCUCGAGAAGGAGCGCGCGUGGACCGGGCUGGGCGAGGAGGCCCAGGCCAGUGGGGACACUUCUUGGGCCCCUAGUGCAUCCCGACCUAGUGGCUGGGUGCACUGGUGACAGACAGGAUGGAUCCUGAGGUCUCUGCCGUCCGGCUCACCGUCUGGGAGGCUGUUCACAUCCUUUCAUCUUCUGAGGAUGGGGGCCGCAUCUUCUGUACCCUGGGGUCCCUGAAGCGCUAUCUUGGUGCAACGGAGAAUCCAGCCCUCCCUGAGGAGCAGGAGGAGUUUGUCAGGAUCCACUUUUCCACCUUUCUCAGAUGUCUGGUCAGCAAGCUGAGCCCCGACUGGCUGGAGCUGCUGCCUGACGGCCAAAUGGAGGAGCUGUGGGCCAGCUUCUUCCUGGAGGGCCCGGCUGACCAAGCCUUCCUGGUGCUGAUGGAGUCCAUCGAGGGUGCUGCCAGCCCCAGCUUCUGUCUGAUGAAGAUGGCGCAACUGCUGGCCAGGUUCCUGAGCGUGGGCAGGAUAGCCGCUGUGAUGGAGGGGCAGUGUCGGCAGCAGGCAGGGCCAGCCUUCCCCCUGCUCCAGGAGACACUUCUCACCAAGGUGGUGGGCCUGCCCGAUCGCCUGGGCAACCGUCUGCAGCGGGAGAACCUGGCCACAUUCCUCCCUCAGAACUACUUCCCUCUGCUUGGCGAGGAAGUCCUGCGGGUGCUGCAGGUGGUCGUGGACUCUCUCCGAGCCAGGUGCACGUUGAUGGCCUUACCACCGUCUCCUUCCUGUCCCAGGUGGCCUGGACUGCUCCGUCUCCUUCCUGUCUCAGGUCCUGGGGAAAGCCUGCGUCCACGGGAGACAGAGGCCCCUGUGUGCUUCCCCUCAGAGGAGGUCCUGGGCGUGCUUGUGCCCCGGCUGACGGUGCUCACCCAGGGCAGCUGCCUCUGGCAGCGGGUCUGCUGGUGCCUGGUGGAGCGUGUGCCCGACUGGGCCAUGGAGGCUGUGCUGAAGGGGUUCGUGGAGGCUGCCCCAGGGCCUGAAGUCCUCUCACGGCUGCUGGGGAAUGUGGUGACAAAGAGUAAGAAGGCCCAGUUUGUAAUGACCCGGAAGCUGCUAUUCCUACAGUACAGCUGCACGAUGCCCAUGCUGCAGAGCCUGCUGGGCUACCUGGCCAUGGACAGCCAGCGGCGUUCACUCCUCAUGCAGGCGCUGAAGGAGCUCCUGGAGACGUGGGGCAGCAGCAGUGCCAUCCGCCAUGUGCCCCUGGUGCAGCAGCGCUACGUCAGCAAGGCCAUCCUCAUCUGCCUGGCGCACCUGGGGGAGGCAGAGCUCCGGGACAGCCGGGAUGAGUUGUUGGCCAGCCUGAUGGAGGGAGUGAAGAGCCGCCUGGACAGCAGCCUACCCCCUGUGCGCCGCUUGGGCAUGAUCGUGGCUGAGGUGGCCAGCGCCCGGAUCCACCCCGAGGGGCCUCCCCUGAAGUUCCAGUAUGAAGAGGAUGAGCUGACCCGCGAGAUGCUGGCUUUGGCCAUGCCCCGGCCCGCGGCUGACGGCCCCUCAGAGGCGGGCCCGUCUUUCGCUCCGGUCAGUGGAGAGACUCCUGACAGAGAGACUGUGGACCGCAGUGGACCCCAGGCUGGGCCUGAGGGCUCCGACUCCGAGCUGGACAGCGAUGAUGAGUUUGUCCCCUACGACAUGUCGGUAGACAGGGAGCAGAGAAGCAGCAAGGCGCCCUCGUAUGUGCGGGGCUGCUUGGAAGCUCUGACUGGGUCCGAGGACUGGGAACGCUGGGAGGCGGCCCUGUGGGCCCUCGAGGGGCUGAUCUUCAGGAGCCCGGCUGCCACUCAGGAGGUGAGCGUGGAGCUGGCCAAGGUGCUGCUGCACCUGGAGGAGAAGACAGCCGUGGCGGGGUUCGAGGGGCUGCGCCAGAGGGCCCUGGUGGCCCUCACAGUCACAGACCCGGCUCGGGUGGCGGAGUACCUGACCGCACAGUUCUACGCCCUCAACUACAGCCUCCGGCAGCGCAUGGACAUUCUGGAUGUCCUGACUCUGGCUGCCCAGGAGCUGUCUCGGCCGGGGCGCCUUGGGAAGGCUCCCCAGCGGGGCUCCCCAGACCCUGGCUCCCAGCCUGGUGGUGCUGUGGUCCCGGCCUGGCGGGCGGUGGUGGAGGAGCGCGUCAGACGUAAGACCCGGCGGUUUUCCAAGGGCUCUGCGGGGCGGGCAUCAGCCGUUGGCCCCAACGAAUUCAACUCGGUGGCUGGCUACUUCUUCUUCCCCCUCCUUCAACAUUUUGACAGGCCUCUAGUGACUUUCGACCUUUUGGGAGAUGACCAGUUGGUUCUUGGGAGACUGGCCCACACCUUAGGGGCCCUGAUGUACCUGGCUGUGAACACCACGGUGGCUGUGCCCAUGGGCAAGGCCCUGCUGGAGUUCGUGUGGGCCCUUCGUUUCCACGGUGAUGCCUAUGUGCGCCAGGGCUUGCUGUCUGCUGUCUCCGCCGUCCUCCUCAGCGUUCCGGCUGAGCGGCUGCUGGCAGACCUGCUGGACGAGCUGCUGGAGGCCCGGUCCUGGCUGGGAGACGUGGCCGAGAAGGACCCAGACAAGGACUGCAGGCUGCUGGCGGUGAAGGCACUACUGCUUCUGGAGAAGCUCCGAGAUAAGCUCCUCCCGCUCUCCUCUCCUUAGCCCCCGACCCUCGGAAGGCACGUCCCACUGGAAGAGUGUGGGCUGGGGGCCAGCACGUGGGGCGGAGGUGCAGCUGGUACAGCCUGGCGUGUCUGCGGCUCAGCGAAGACUCUGCAUCAGGGCCUCGGGUUCUGACCCCCACAGACUGGGACUGGGAUGUGGCCUCUGAGGCUUGGGCUCCAGGAUGGCUGCUCAGCCCGGUGCCUCCGUGCAGCCUGUAGACUGCAGAGCUGGGGCCACUGGGCCUGGGGGCUUCUUAGCAAUGUGCCCCCACCCCUUCCUCACCGAAAAGGCCAGGGACUUUAAGAACAACAGAAAAGGAAGAAUAAAAGAGGUACAGGAGCUCUUUAUGGUUCUCACUCCUGCAGGGAGCCUGGUGCCCACACACGGCCCCCUGAAGGGGAGACAUGGAAAUGGGGGCAGGAAGGGGACACGGGCCUCUGAGAAAACAGACUUUAUUUGGAGAAUUUCGGCAGCUGGUGGGUGGAGCUGGGGAUGGGAAAGCAUGAGGCAGCCCCCCCGCCCCCAUCAUGUUGCUGUCCCUGAUGGCCCCUUAUGGUGGGAGCUGGUGACGGAAAGGGCAUGGCCUAGAUGGACAGAGCCUCCCGCUGCAGCCCAGUGCCAACCGUUGUCUCCCGGUGGUCAGGACGGGGUGUCCUGUGGGAACCAGUCAGAUGUACUGCUGGGCAACCUGUGUGGGUGCCGGGGGGGGGGCGGGAAUAUGGGGACACCCUCAGUUUCUUAGGCUUUACACCCUGUACUUGGGGGAACGUCAUGGGAAAAAUGAACCAACUCCCUUGACUGCCAAGGGGCUAAAACAAAACCCUGCAGGGGUCAGGAACUCAGAAGGGGUGGCUUAGAGACCCUCCCCCUGAUGCCCCUCGGAGGCUAGCGCAUUUUCCCACAGCUCUGCCUACGGACUCAGACACAAAACUUUCACCAGGAACGUCAGGCUCCUGCUACUGAUAAUGACUGGCAAGUCCCAGAAGAGCCUGGGCAGCGGCAGGCCCUCAGGGGCCAUUCUCCACCUCCUCCAUCACCUCCUCGUCCAUCUCCUUGUGAUCCUCCAUGUUGUUGUGGCGCAUCUGCUCCGGCAUGGUGCACAUCAGAGGGAUGCCCAGGCCCUGGUGCACGGCGUCCACAGUGCGCUGGCUCACGUAGUACGACACGUUGGCGGAGGGCACUCUCUUCCGCAUCUCCUCCAGGCUCCGGACGCACAGGCUCAGCGGCCAUGGCUCACGGGCCCAGCUGCUCCGCGGCAUGUGGGAUCUUCCCGGACCGGGGCACGAACCUGUGUCCCCUGCAUCGGCAGGCAGACUCUCAACCACUGCGCCACCAGGGAAGCCCAAGGAUGCAGCUUUUGAGAAGGGCUGGUACUGGUGCUGCACUAGACUCUGGAGGGCACGGCCUGUCAAUGCCAGUCCCGCUCAGGGAGCAGCCUGGGGCAGAGAGGAGCUGAGCCCUGCUGUCCACACAGGGGUCUUGGAAGCACUGGACUAGCUGCCAGUCUCGGCUGUUUCUGGAACAACCUCCCAAGAGUCGGCCCGGUUCUGCAGGAACCAGAGGAGCCCCGACGUGCAUAGAGCAAUGGCACACCCUGCCCUUCCCGUCCAGCUGUCCAAGGAGUUCCUUAGAAGAAUGUCCAUUGGAAGUGCCAUGCUGCCCCACGGCUGACGUACCUGCGGGCCUGCAUGAAGCGCUUCACCAGUGCCAUUUUGCUCUGCAGCUGCGCCAGCCUGGCCUCCUGGUCCAGUGGGCUCCUGGCCUUGGCCUUGGACAGGCACUUGUAGGCCUCAGUCAGUGCCCCGUGGGCCUUGUCGUAGUUCUGGUACUCGUCGAUCUCUACCUGCAGGAGGAGGCGUCAGGACCCAUGGGUCCUCCACCCACCCAGGGCCCCUGGAAGUGGGGGGUCGGUACCUGGGCACAGGCAUCAUAGAAGCCGGCCAGGAGGUCCAGGGCCCGGCCCUUGGUGUAGAAGCUGAUGAUGCUCUUCAUGAUCUCCGGGUCCUUCCGCCAGUCCAGGGACUGCAGGUAGUUGGCUGCCAUGAUGUAAAUCUCCUUUUGCCUCGAGACGCCCGCAAAGAACACAAUUUUCUCAGUGUCCCCAGACUUGAGCAGUGCUCUCAUGGCCUGGACAGAGAAAGAGCCGGGCUGACCCCUUCCUGGCAAGGUGGACAGAGCUCCCGCCCGACGCUGCUCUGCAGCUGCUUGUCUUUAGGACAAGCGAGCUCUGGGCUGCAAAGUCUUGGCAGGCGCCCUCGGAACCCUGCCCAGAAGCUCAUCCCACAGGGCACCCAUGCGCCGGGCCGCACUCACCUUCAGCCUGUCCCCUGCCUGCGUGUACUUCUUGGUGGCCAGGUGGUAGUUGCCCUGGCGCAUGCAGCAGCUGGCAAUCUGCUCCAGCAGCUCACGCCGGGACUCUUCAGACAGCUCCUUGCAGUCCUUGGACACCGUCAUCUUUUCAGCCAUCUCCUCAGUGAUGGUCAAGUUAUGCUCCAGGCAGAGCUGCAGGGCUUCGUGAUACUGGGAAGGGCCACAGAAACCAAGGGGCAGUCACCUGUGGCCUGGGGGAGAGCCACACCUCCCCGCCUCCUGGGGUGGGGGUGGGGGGAACAGUGCGGCCAGGUGGGGGCACGUGACCUUCUCUUGCUAUUGAUACUCUAGAGGCAACCAAGGAAACGUGCAGCCCAAAAGGAAGUUAUAUUCAUUGUGGGAGAAAAGGAGACCAGAAACUAAUUUCCUUCUAUAAUUCUUUUCAAGUUUUCAAAGUAAAGAGUUUAAUUAAUUUAAUUAACUUUCCUUAAAAAUUCAAGAAAAAUUAUAUAUUCUUCACUUAAGAACGUGUCUUGGGGGGCUUCCCUGGUGGCUCAGUGGUUAAGAAUCUGCCUGCCGGGGCUUCCCUGGUGGCGCAGUGGUUGAGAGUCUGCCUGCCGAUGCAGGGGGCAUGGGUUCGUGCCCCGGUCCGGGAAGAUCCCACAUGCCGCGGAGCAGCUGGGCCCGUGAGCCAUGGCCGCUGAGCCUACGCAUCCGGAGCCUGUGCUCCGCAACGGGAGAGGCCACAACAGUGAGAGGCCUGUGUACCGCAAAAAAAAAAAAAAAAAAAAGAAUCUGCCUGCCAAUGCAGGGGACGUGGGAUCGAGCCCUGGUCCGGGAAGAUCCCACACGCCGUGGAGCAACUAAGCCCGUGCGCCACAACUACUGAGACCACGCGCUGCAACUACUGAAGCCCGAGCGCUCUAGAGCCCGCGAGCCACAACUACUGAAGCCCGCGCACCUAGGCCCAUGCUCCUCAACAAAGACACCGCAAUGAAAAGCCUGCGCACCGCAACGAAGAGUAGCCCCUGCUCGCCCAACUAGAGAAACACCGUGCGCAACAACGAAGACUCAACGCAGCCAAAAAUAAAAUAAAUUAAAAAAAAAAUAAAACAGCCCAUUGUGGAUUAAUAAAAAAGAAUGUGUCUUGGGAAGAAAAAGAACUAUAUCUUGGAGAUGAUUUGCCCUGCUGACGGCUGUGCUGGGAACCUGCAGGGCAUCCUGCCCAGACUCAGAGGGUGGUCCUGCAGGUGUGGAGGUCCUUGUGCCUAUGCCACUCACUCAUGUAUAAGUGUGUUGUUAGCAUGACUGCUGACGAUAGGAAGCACUGGACCAAGGAAGAUGUGCUUGUCACCUGUGGCAGGCGCCACUGCCAUGUUCCUACCCGCAGCCUGAGCACAACUGUUUCCCACUACAACCUGGCGGGUUUUCUAGCCUUUUUACUUUACUAGCCUAAUUCACAAACAAUGGCAUCUCCUCACGUCUGAUCUGUAUUCCCCUGAUAUGAGUGAGGCUGUGUAUCAGACAUUCAGGAACCAUCCAGAUUUCCUUUUUUUAAAACAAACUGACCAUAUUCUUUGUCCUUCCUCUUGAGUUGUUGGUAGAUUUCUUAUUGGUUUAUAGAAACUCUAUACAUAUUAAGAAGAUUGGCCUUUCGGGAUAUAGGUAGAAUACAUUUUUUCCCAUUUUAUUAUUCA